rnacentral:rRNA from 1 species
CCCUUAGAUGUUCUGGGCCGCACGCGUGCUACACUGAGUGGAUCAGCGGGUCAGGUUGCGCGAAAGCGUUUCCUAAUCUUUAAAUCCGCUCGUGAUGGGGAUUGACGGUUGCAAUUUUCUGUCAUGAACGAGGAAUACCUUGUAAGCGCGGGUCAUCAUCCCGCGCUGAAUACGUCCCUGCCCUUUGUACACACCGCCCGUCGCUCCUACCGAUUGAGUGGUCCGGUGAGGCUUUGGGAUCUGAGCGGAAAGAGCGUUUCGCUGUUUCUGCUCGGAAAACUCAGUCGAACCUUAUCAUUUAUAGGAAGGAGAAGUCGUAACA